UGUUGUUUUAACACACAAAAACCCUAAUGAACAAUAUCUUAUAAAGUUCCUUAUAGAGACAAAAGAAACCUAGUCAACACUUGACUAAAUAUCUCACCCUUUCCACCUUAAAGUGGCCAGCCUCUUUGUUGUUUGUUUGGGCUUUGGGCUUUUAUUAUUUCAAGUCAUCCAAUGCUUGAAUAAAAGCCCAAUGGGUUUAAGCCCAAUGGGCCCAAUUAAACCCGAACGUUUCUUAAGCCCAAAACGAUCUUUAUCGCUUUUAUGAUUUCUUUAGACUUUCUAAAUUAAUCACAACAAUUAAUUAAUCCAAUUAAUUAUUUCCAUCAUCCAUUAGUUACUCACUACAAUAGUGUUGUGGCGAACAGUCUUUUAGGUUCUAAUUAGCAAGGCAGUGAGGUGAUUGGCAUCAAUCCAAUUGCUUAUAUUUAAUUCAAUCACUUAGUGAAUUAAAAUUUCAUUUUAAUUCACCUUUCUUCUUUGACGACUACAUUUAAUCAUCUAGAAGAACUCACAAGCUAUGAGUGACAUCUAACCAUAUGUCAUAGCUACCCAAGCUAAUGUAGAAGUUUAUUUGAAGAACCUAGUCAGUUGGAAUUAUAAUGUAAUUCAAUCCUUCUCUAAUACAAUACUCUCAAUCACAUCAUUAGGGUAUGGAUAUAUCAUGUCAAACCC
rnacentral:lncRNA from 1 species